GGGACGUCACUAGAUAUUCAUGAAUAGGGGGGCUAAGCCACUUUUAGGGGGGUCUGGAAUACUCCCUGUCUGUUUAUUGUUAGCUAGCAGUCUCAAGACAUAGAAGUAACUAACAUUAACUGAAAUGCUAGCUACAAGUAGGCCUAACGGGACAUGUAUACUAGAUAGUGGUAAAUUGCCGUGUGCGGCUUAGGCCGCCCAUUGUGACAGCAUAUAGCAGCUUUUCGAUUGUACGUCAAGAAUUCAGAAUAGCAAGUUUGUAUGAAGUUCUGGUUAUUACAUGGGUACAUAGCUCAAUAGUAAUAUCCUCUAAAACGCGCUGGUGACAAACAAACUUGCUGCCCUGUUUCCAAUUGUCUACAUGGCUGGGAGAACCAAUUCAAGUAAGUAAAUACAUUUUUUUUUUUUUUUUUUUUUUUAAACGACGUAUUAUUAGCUAACUAGCCACAGUGCAGGCUAACUCAAACGAGCUGCUAAAUGAACUAGCUAGUUGCCUAGCUAGCUAUCCAGCCAACUGUAUAGAUAGCUAGCCAAGUGAAUUAAAUAUCAACAGCUACCUAACCUCAUAUUAGCUCGGUAUCUUGAUGUAUUUAUCACUGUAAAAAACUAACUCAAAAUGCAUUUGUUGGUACCUAGCUAACAACCAUGGAGGGUGAAGGGAUAGCAGCCCCAACUGUCAAAGUGAGAGAGUAGGCUAUUCUGGAUUAGGGCAGGUACUUUUGUGUAUAAUUUGACUAUAAUGAAGUCUGUUUCUUGUAAGGUUUUCUGUCCUCAGAUAAAAGAGAGUUAUGAAAGCCUGUCUACAUAGCUUCAAGUGGUAUUUAUCUAUUAAUUUAUUCAUUCUUUGAUAUGAUCCUGUUAUUGUCACAUGCUAUACAUGCACAUGUGUGCCCAUGCAUCUUGAUAUCCAUUGUUUUCAUGAGUUAUAAAGGAUAUUAUACUUUAGUAAUCCACAAUGACCCAGUGAUGUAAAAGUCUAAUAAUUACAUUGUCUUCCAUAUUACUACAGAGACCUUGUAACUGGAGAUUCCUUCAAAACGAUUGCCUACAUAUAGGGCACUGCAAGGUUGGGUGACCAGGGCCAUCUGGGACUGCCUCAUGGGGGAAUUCAGGUGUGUGAAGGCUACCUGUGUCCUGCAUAACUUAAUGAGGAUGGACUCAAGGACCAGGAGAGGAUCUGCAGCUUGCCGCCGUGUGCCAGAGUAGAAGUCUGCUGCUCUGCGGGAUGUUAAGUAUUGGGUCCAACAACGCAACAAGAGAAGCAAUCCAUCCAUCCUAAUUCUUUGAAGAGGGUGCUGUUCCCUGGCAACACACUAAAAGAGCCAUUCACAUUGCAAUCAGAGUAUUCUUCCAUUUACUUAGCUAUGUCAAUUGCAGUUAUUGAAUUCACAGUUGCUCUCCCUUUUGAUUUCUACUUCUCAGGUGAGGGUGCUGUUUAGCUAAGGGUAUGAUGUCUGUACAAAAACAAAACAGGCUAUUUUUAAUCACCCAUAUUGUUUUUUUUUUUUUUUUUUACAAUUAGACACCCUAUAACCCCCACACUCAUGUAUCAAUCUGAUUGAUGGAUGGUGUUGUGCAGUAAGCAGACUCUGGUGUAUAACUGUUGCUUCUUCCACAUUCAAAGAAUAGGCAAGAGGGCCAACCAUGGGGAAUAGUAAGACACUUCAUUACUUCUAUAACUACCCUAGAUUGUUUUUCAGCAUAAAGUACUCUGCAGCCACUUAGUGUGGUGAUCCAGGUGAGGCCACACCAGGAUUCCUGUUGAAAACUGUCGCUUUUAUCUACCUUAUUUUCUCAAUAAGUCACUCUCCUUCACUUCAUCCCUUUCUCUUCUUCUCCCUAAAUCCUCUAGGUUAUAUCAGCUGUGUCGGUGAACCCCUCCUGCAUUUGAACUGGCUACAUGGAGGGCUCAGCAUGAUCAGAGAGGCAGAUGGAGAUGCCAAUCCUGGGGAUGCCAAUCCCCAGUCCUAUCAUCGCCAUCUCACCCGCUUUUAAGAUGAGUAUCUCUCGACAGCCCAAAGGUUAUGUAAUUGUGAUGAACUGAGAAUAUUUAGGUAGCACUGUGAUUCAUUAAUCAUAUGCUGCCUUCCCUGCUCUUAUGUUUGACCUCUUUCCCUUUGUCUUUUACACCUCUCCCGCCACCUCUUUCUUCCUGUUUUUAUAAUGCACAACAGAUGUGCAUUGAAGGUCAGAUUGAACUUGUAUUUAUAAUAUUACAAUUCAUAAUAUUUAUAAUGCAUGUAAAUGACUUAAAUGUAAAUGUAUUUAUAACACUUGGAUAAUGAGCUUUUCAAUAAAGCAUUUUACAUUCUCUA